GGCCUGAUGGUCUAGGAGUAUGAUUCGUUGUUAGGGUUAACUGUGUCUGGCAGUUUAAUAUUCUUUCGACGAGGUCCCGGGUUCAAUUCCCGGUCAGGCCC